UACGUAGGGGGCUAGCGUUGUCCGGAAUUAUUGGGCGUAAAGAGCUCGUAGGCGGUUUGUUGCGUCGGCUGUGAAAACCCGGGGCUCAACUCCGGGCCUGCAGCCGAUACGGGCAGACUAGAGUUCGGCAGGGGAGACUGGAAUUCCUGGUGUAGCGGUGAAAUGCGCAGAUAUCAGGAGGAACACCGGUGGCGAAGGCGGGUCUCUGGGCCGAUACUGACGCUGAGGAGCGAAAGCGUGGGGAGCGAACAGG
rnacentral:rRNA from 1 species